rnacentral:rRNA from 1 species
UAGGGAAUCUUCCACAAUGGGCGAAAGCCUGAUGGAGCAACGCCGCGUGUGUGAUGAAGGGUUUCGGCUCGUAAAACACUGUUGUAAGAGAAGAAUGACAUUGAGAGUAACUGUUCAAUGUGUGACGGUAUCUUACCAAAAAGGACGGCUAAAUACGUGCCA